UGGCAAGCGUUGUCCGGAAUUACUGGGUGUAAAGGGAGCGUAGGCGGGUAGGUAAGUUGAAUGUUUAAUCUAUGGGCUCAACCCAUAGCUGCGUUCAAAACUGUUUAUCUUGAGUGGGGUAGAGGCAGAUGGAAUUCCUAGUGUAGCGGUGAAAUGCGUAGAUAUUAGGAGGAACACCAGUGGCGAAGGCGAUCUGCUGGGCCCUAACUGACGCUGAGGCUCGAAAGCGUGGGUAGC
rnacentral:rRNA from 1 species